GUGGGAGGUUUUGGGUUCUUGCAGAUCAGGAUUACGAAUCGGACGAUGAUCCUAUUGAGGAACCAUCGGAUACGCGUUCACCGGUUGAUCCGUCUCUGAUAUCUACAACAUCGUCGUUGGGGGUGUCGUUGGAGUGCAAGCUGCAGCAAGAUGUCCGACUGCCAAGGAAGAAGAAGGGGGCUUUCCGGCCGAAACCUUGGAUCGGGCCUUUACCUAAGGUUAGUAGACAUCCCAUUUCUUUGUCUGAUUUCUUCAAACCUGGCUGUUGGCCUGAGGAUGUUUUGAACAAGCAUCAGAUCAAACCACUGUCUUCAGGUCGUCGUUCGUCAGGAACGGCGACGAUGGCGCAGUCCAGGCGUGAUCAUAGGGAUAGUUUUUUGGCUGUCGUUAUGUCUGCGGAUGGGCCAGGUUUGGUUACCUCUUCGUUGGUUGACACAUAGGCUGGGUAUUCGGCCCAGCCUGGGGUGAGUCGGCCCGAAGGUGGGCUGCCUAUUUGUCAGGACGACUCUGGCCAGGACGCAUCUUCCUUUCGUAGGGUCGCUAGGGUUGGAUUCCCACGACAGAGUCUUGGCCGAGCGCCGUGGGUUGCUGCCUAUCGAUCGUCCGUCAUGGCCGGGAGAGGUGCGCCCCUUCAGCGAUCCUCGUCGGCCCAGGGUCCGCCGUCUGCUAGUCAGGGG
rnacentral:lncRNA from 1 species